rnacentral:lncRNA from 1 species
AAAAAACCUACUGACAAAUAAAACGUCGAUAGCACCAGGAUUUUUGGAUCGAUUGGAUGCUUAGGUUGUUGUUGAUUUGAGGAGCUGCGUUAAAUUCACCGGACAAUUAAUACUAUUUGUUUUCUGAUUUGUACCAAUCAAUAAAAAGCCUUGGAUAGAAUCAGUAUGUAAGUAAGAUGGUUUGAACGACUUACAGCUGACUUGUAAACAAUGGACAAGAAACCAGCAAACAUGGGUUGACUCGGAAUUUUCGUCAGUGUAUGAAACAGAGAAAAUAAACAACUUUGACUUAAGGACUUGUUGAAAGCUCAGAUCCUAUAUACAUAACGAACAAUUGCUCCGGAUAACAGCACAGUAAUAAUACACUUGUACUAACAAAUUUAUCAAACAUUUACAGGGAAUAGAAGACAAUACAUACUGUGGAAUAUCGCUUGUAAAAG